GGAUUGUGGCUCAGCGGUAGAGCACUUGCCUCGCACAUGCAAGGCCCUGGGUUCGAUGCUCAGCACCA
rnacentral:tRNA from 1 species